rnacentral:rRNA from 1 species
AUACGGAGGAUGCAAGCGUUAUCCGGAUUUAUUGGGUUUAAGGGGUGCGUAGGCGGAUGAUUAAGCGUGAGGUGAAAUGCCACUGCUCAACAGUGGAACUGCCUCGCGAACUGGUUGUCUUGAAUGCUCCUGCCGUGGGAGGAAUGUGUGGUGUAGCGGUGAAAUGCAUAGAGAUCACACAGAACACCGAUUGCGAAGGCAUCUCACGAAGGGGUGAUUGACGCUGAGGCACGAAAGCGUGGGGAUCAAACAGGAUUAGAUUCCCUGGUAGUCCACGCAGUAAACGAUGAUUACUAGCUGUUUGCGAUACAAUGUAAGCGGCUGAGCGAAAGCGUUAAGUAAUCCACCUGGGGAGUACGUUCGCAAGAAUGAAACUCAAAGGAAUUGACGGGG